UGUCUCCUCCACCCUCCUCCUUUGGUGUGGAUUUAAGCCCGGACACGCAAGUGUUCGGGCUUUUUCUU
rnacentral:ncRNA from 1 species